UACGUAGGGUGCAAGCGUUAAUCGGAAUUACUGGGCGUAAAGCGUGCGCAGGCGGUUUUGUAAGUCUGAUGUGAAAGCCCCGGGCUCAACCUGGGAAUUGCAUUUGAAACUGGGGAACUAGAGUGUGUGAGAGGGGGGUAGAAUUCCAAGUGUAGCAGUGAAAUGCGUAGAGAUGUGGAGGAACACCGAUGGCGAAGGCAGCCCCCUGGGUCAAGAUUGACGCUCAUGCACGAAAGCGUGGGGAGCAAACAGG
rnacentral:rRNA from 1 species